GGAGAAUGUGCAGCAGCUCCAGCUCUGUGCCUGCAGCUCCCAGGGAAUGCCUGCCUGCAUGGCAGCAUCCAUGGAGCCCUGCUCUGCUGUCCUGGCCAGUUACUCCAAGGCUGAAUUCAGCAUAUGAUGAACAACUUGUUCUCCAAAGCUGGAACUUAGGGGAGAAGGUUUUCGGGAUGAUCACGCAACUCUGGGGCUCCUUCUCAAGCAGCUGAAGCUCCCACAAGAGGGAUGAUAUUGAUGUAAGAUCAUUGCGCCAGAUGCAGGAAAUGGACCCCGAUGUCAUACACAGAAAAGGUGCUGGGCUGAGAUUGCAGCAUUCCAGCCUUUUGCUGUGCAUCCCACCCCAUGUGCCUGUGUCAGCAGUGGUGGGACAGCUCUGCAAUAUACUGCUAGAAAACUUUCCUCUU